rnacentral:sRNA from 1 species
GUCACGCCCGAAGUCGUUACCUCAACCGCAAGGAGGGGGAUGCCUAAGGCAGGGCUAGUGACUGGGGUGAAGUCGUAACAAGGUAGCCGUACCGGAAGGUGUGGCUGGAUCACCUCCUUAAAGGGAGACCUAAUUCCGGUAGGAGACGAAACAAAAGUAGUCGCUACCAAGAAUCAAUCCCAAAAGGUCGGAGCGAGGCAAAAUUGGCUUUCAAACUAGGUUCUGGGUUCACACAAGACCUGAAUCAGGAACAAGGACUAUUAGCUCAGGUGGUUAGAGCGCACCCCUGAUAAGGGUGAGGUCCCUGGUUCGAGUCCAGGAUGGCCCACCUGUACAGGUGGCAAAAACAAGAGAAGCGAGGAAUCAGCACCUUAUCUUACUGACAUAGUAAGAGAGAAUGCUGGCUCUGAGUAAAGAGUCCAGAGGAACCUUGAAAACUGCAUAGAGCUAGGUGAAAAAGCCAAAAAAGAAGACCGCAAGGUCAAGCUAAUAAGGGCUAACGGUGGAUACCUAGGCACACAGAGG